CAUCAACGGGAGCCAUGCUUUUUAGUUUACUCAGAAAGUGAUGAGGAGAGUUAUGUAUGCUCCGGUCUUUUGAAUGCACAAGUUUAGACAAGCAAAAGUUAUAUCGUCACUGACUUAGUGUUGCAUUACUGUUUAUAGGAAUAUAUAUUAAGGUGAAUGGGAAUAAUAACUGCAAGGCUAGCCCAGCUACCGUUAGCUUUGUUGCGGGAGAGGGUCUCUUUCAGGUGCAGACAGCAUGAGUUUUCAGAUGAUUUUCUUACGGGCAUUCAGCACUGUCUUUUAUCAGGCAAAUAUACUUGUAUGGGAGUCCAGACGGCAGCAUUAACUUUUGCCUUGUAUUUGUACCCAUUCCAUGUAGGCUGCCCUACAGAGACCCCUCCCAAAUGAAGUCACCUCUCCCAUCACCCGCCCUUCCCAUCCUAUCCCCCCCCCCCCCCCGGAGAAUAAAAGAUCAAGGGCACUUUAUGAGGAGCUGAUGGAUGCUGCGGUUACUGAAUCUGCAUCCCAGUGGAGGCACAUCACACACCGUAAACACAACGCAAGAUAGCGGUCUUUGGUGAAUGGGGCUGAAAUGGCUUUGGGGGAUCCCAUCCUGCUUCCAGAGAUUCCUGCACUACCCUGUCUCCUGAGGGUCCAGCUCAGGGGGUUUCUACCACUGGCCCAUACCCUCUGGCUCCCUCUCACAUCAGGCCUCGAGGGUGUCUGAGGCUCAAGGGCUUCUAUUGAUGACGUGGGUCCUCCACUCCCCAUGUCCCGUUGGUCCUCAAGGAGGCUCAGAAAAGGCCUGUCGUCAAAAAGGGUAAAUCAGAGCUAAUGAAUAUUAUAUUAUUGAGCUGAUCAACAACCCUGAAAGGUUCAGCAUGCUCUUCAUAUCUGGCUUAAAGACUACUGCCACUGUUUGCAUAACUUUUAUUGACAAUUUUGGAAACAAAAGAUGCUAUAUAGAGAUGAUGUACUCCAUCCAAAACCAUCUAGGAGCCUUUACAUUUCAAGGCCGGGUUAAAAUAAUUAUUCAGAGACAGACCAAGCCCCACUCAGAAAGGACGGGAGGUAUUACCUAAGCGCUAUCGUCAUACUGUUGUCUACACUGCCAGGGGUGUUGUCAGUUGUAAUCUUCUGGGCUAAUCAGACAAAUCCGGACAUUCUGGUAUUGACUGAAACUUGGAUCUCUGGGGACAUUUUGGGCUCUGAUAUUAAGAGGGUUAUAAUGUGUUCAGCACUGACAAACAAGGUAGUAUGGUGGUAGAGUGGUCAUUCAUAUAAAAAAUAAUUUCUCUGUCUCUACUGAAAUCCAUUACUUGCAUUUUAUUUUUUGCUACCAUCUUUAAGCCUUUGUCUGGGGAAAAAUGUAUCCGUAACUGUUAUAGGGGUCUACCGUCCUCCCUCGUCUAACCUUUGUGCACUCGAGGAGUUAACUAGUCCGUCUUCUUUUAUUAAAUCAUAAGUUAUUAUUCUGGGUGACCUACAGUUUAAGUCGGAAGUUUACAUACACUUUAGCCAAAUACAUUUAAACUCCGUUUUUCACAAUUCCUGACAUUUAAACCUAGUAAACAUACCCUGUCUUAGGUCAGUUAGGAUCAGCACUUUAUUUUAAGAAUGUGAAAUGUCAGAAUAAUAGAAGGAUUUAUUUCAGCUUUUAUUUCUUUCAUCACAUUCCCAGUGGGUCAGAAGUUUACAUACACUUAAUUAGUAUUUGGUAGCAUUGCCUUUAAAUUGUUUAACAAACAUUUCGGGUAGCCUUCCACAAGCUCCCUACAAUAAGUUGGGUGAAUUUUGGCCCAUUCCCCCUGACAGAGCUGCCGUAACUGAGUCAGGUUUUUAGGCCUCCUUGCGCACACAUCCUUUUUCAGUUCUGCCCACAAAUUUUCUCUAGGAUUGAGGUCAGGGCUUUGUGAUGGCCACUCCAAUACCUUGACUUUGUUGUCCUUAAGCCAUUUUGCCACAACUUUGGAAGUAUGCUUGGGGUCAUUGUUCAUUUGGAAGACCCAAGCUUCAACUGACUGAUGUCUUGAGAUGUUGCUUCAAUAUAUCCACAUAAUUGUCCUGCCUCAUGAUGCCAUCUAUUUUGUGAAGUGCACCAGUCCCUCCUGCAGCAAAGCACCCCCACAACAUGAUGCUGCCACCCCCGUGCUUCACGGUUGGGAUGGUGUUCUUCGGCUUGCAAGCUUCCCCCUUUUUCCUCCAAACAUAACGAUGGUCAUUAUGGGCAAACAGUUCUAUUUUUGUCAGACCAGAGGGCAUUUCUCCAAAAAGUACGAUCUUUGUCCCCAUGUGCAGUUGCAAACAGUAGUCUAGCUUUUUUAUGGCAGUUUCGGAGCAGUGGCUUCUUCCUUGCUGAGCGGCCUUUCAGGUUAUGUCGAUAUAGGACUCAUUUUACUGUGGAUAUAGAUACUUUUGUACCCGUUUCCUCCAGCAUCUUCACAAGGUCCUUUGCUGUUGUUCUGGGAUUGAUGUGCACUUUUCGCACCAAAGUACGUUCAUCUCUAGGAGACAGAACGCGUCUCCUUCCUGAGGGGUAUGACGGAUGCGUGGUCCCAUGGUGUUUAUACUUGCGUACUAUUGUUUGUAUAGAUGAACGUGGUACCUUCAGGCGUUUGGAAUUUGCUCCCAAGGAUGAACCAGACUUGUGGAGGUCUACCAUUUUUUUUCCUGACGUCUUGGCUGAUUUAUUUGGAUUUUCCCAUGAUGUCAAGCAAAGAGGCACUGAGUUUGAAGGUUGGCCUUGAAAUGCAUCCACAGGUACACCUCCAAUUGACUCAAAUUAUGUCAAUUAGCCUAACAGAAGCUUCUAAAGCCAUGACAUCAUUUUCUGGAAUUUUCCACGCUGUUUAAAGGCACAGUCAAUUUAGUGUAUGUAAACUUCUGACCCACUGGAAUUGUGAUACAGUGAAUUAUAAGUGAAAUAAUCUGUAUGUAAACAAUUGUUGAAAAAAUUACUUGUGUCGUGCGCAAAGUAGAUGUCCUAACCAACUUGCCAAAACUAUAGUUUGUUAACAAGAAAUUUGUGGAGUGUUUGAAAAACGAGAUUUAAUGACUCCAACCUAAGUGUAUGUAAACAUCCGACUUCAACUGUACAUUGUGAUUGAUUAGGAAAUGCAUGCUUCAGACAAUCUAAAAGACGUGUAAUGAUCUAAACCAGCUGGUGACUAAACCUACACGGCCCAACCCUUAAGAUCCUUCAAAGUACUCUGAUCUUAUUUGAACAAAUACACCAGAUAAAUAUGUUUCUACAGGUGUAUUCGCCCAACACAUUAGUGACCAUUGCCCAGCUGUUUGAGUAAGAGAUGUGAGAAUACAAAAAUCUAAGCUUCAUGUCAUCACGAAGAGGAACUUUUAAGUACUUCAGUGAACAGGCGUGAUUUACAUUUACAUUUUAGUCAUUUAGCAGACGCUCUUAUCCAGAGCGACUUACAGUAGUGAAUGCAUACAUUUCAUUUUCAUUUCAUGCAUUUUUUGUUAAUUGUAUUUCAGCUAUCCCUGAGCCAGGUUUAGCUUUCAACCUUUUUGUAGAUGUCUUCAAUACAAUUGUGGAUAGUCAUGCUCCCUUCAAAAAAUGUAGAGUUAAAGGUAGAUCAAUUGCCUAGUACACUCCGGAAUUAUCAGAAGUCAUUCAUAAAAGGGAAGACUCGUGUCAAGUCCAGGAACACAGGCUUAGGCCCGGACUGGCAAGCUUUUAAGCAACUGAGGAAUCAUUGUUGAAGACAAGUCAGAAAAGCCAAAUCUGAUUUAUGUAACCAAUCUUUCGGAUUGUAUUGGGAACCUGGCAAAAUUCUGGAAAACUGUCAUCUCAGCUCUUUGACAGAACUUCUAAGCCUAUUCAAUGAUUUUGGUCUGGAUGCUGAUAGGGGAAACUUGCUGAAUGAUCAGAGAAAUUAUAGUCAAAGCUUUUCUUUUGGGCUAUUUACAGAAAACUAAGUCCUGGAUGCUUUGCUAGCAAUAGACAACAAAAAAUACACCCCGGCCGACCAAUUAGAUCCUAGUCUGCUUAAGUGUGCAGCGCCAUUGUUCAUUGUUGGCUCAAUAACCCACAUUUUCUGUUUAACAGUUAUCAGGAAAUAUUCCAAAAUUAUGGAAAUCAGCUCGUGCUGCCACUGCAUAAGGGCGGGAUACUAGUGAUCGUAAUAAUUAUCACCCCAUUUCAAGGCUUCCUUGUCUAGCUAAGAUUCUCGAAUUCUUGGUAAAUGUACAACUUAGCUUUUUUUUUUAUCAGAUAAAUGUAUUUAGAAUGUAAACCAAUCAGGGUUUAGGACCUAAGCAUAGCACUAUUACAGCAACCACUUUAGGUCUUAAUGAUCUUGUCAAUGCUGUAGACACUAAAAUGAAAUGUGCUGCUUUGUUUGUAGACCUGCCAAAAGCUUUUGAUACUGUUGAUCAUGCUAUUGUUAGGGUUUAACCAACUAUUUGUUUGCGUAACCUAUAUAAUAUAACAAAGAAGUUAUGCUAUAAUAUUAAGUUAAUACUCUAUAUAAUAAGAGCAUACUGCUGUGUGAGAGGAAGUGGCUCAUGGGAUGGUGGGUCAUGUGGAAAGAAUGCAGAUGCUGUAAAAUCUGGGUUUUGGAAGAGCUUGUUAAAAGAUAACGGCAAAUAACAAGAUAUGGGUGAAAUGUAUAUGCGGGGGGGUGUCGGGGUUUUAGAGAACUGUGCAUUGUGCAGUCACAAGAUAAGUCAACUGCCAAAGAUAAUAGGAUGCGUCUCGAGGUUGGGACCAACCUGCACGCCAACGACAGGAUGAGUAAGUUUAAACCACGCUCAUCCUCCCUCUGACAGGCCAGCAUUGAGUGGGAACUAUCUCUG
rnacentral:lncRNA from 1 species